rnacentral:rRNA from 1 species
UCGGCAAUGGGCGAAAGCCUGACCGAGCGACGCCGCGUGUGGGAUGAAGGCCUUCGGGUUGUAAACCACUGUCAACGGGGAGGAAAUGUAGGGGGGUACUCCCCUCUACUUGACCUAUCUGUGGAGGAAGUACGGGCUAAGUUCGUGCCAGCAGCCGCGGUAAGACGAACCGUACGAACGUUAUUCGGAAUUACUGGGCUUAAAGGGUGCGUAGGCGGUGCGGUAAGUUGGAUGUGAAAGCCCUCAGCUCAACUGAGGAAUUGCACUCAAAACUACCGUGCUAGAGGGAGACAGAGGUAAGCGGAACUCAAGGUGGAGCGGUGAAAUGCGUUGAUAUCUUGAGGAACACCGGUGGCGAAGGCGGCUUACUGGGUCUUUUCUGACGCUGAGGCACGAAAGCCAAGGUAGCAAACGGGAUUAGAUACCCCGGUAGUCUUGGCUGUAAACGAUGAGCACUUGAUUGAAGGGUCCUCCAUAGCCUUUCAGUCGUAGCGAAAGUGUUAAGUGCUCCGCCUGGGGAGUAUGGUCGCAAGGCUGAAACUCAAAGAA